ACAGUGACGAUCAAAGUGGAAGCCCUCUCUGAAGUUUGUCCAGAAAGUGCAUCCAUUUUGUUGGUCUCUGUAUGU
rnacentral:miRNA from 1 species